GCCCGGAUGGUUUAGGGGUAUAAUUCUCGCUUUGGGUUUGCGAGAGGUCCUGGGUUCGAUUCCCAGUUCGGGCC
rnacentral:tRNA from 1 species